GUCUAGUACUCAGAGUUUGAUCCUGGCUCAGAACGAACGCUGGCGGCAGGCUUAACACAUGCAAGUCGAGCGCCCCGCAAGGGGAGCGGCAGACGGGUGAGUAACGCGUGGGAAUCUACCCAUCUCUACGGAAUAACGCAUGGAAACGUGUGCUAAUACCGUAUACGUCCUUCGGGAGAAAGAUUUAUCGGAGAUGGAUGAGCCCGCGUUGGAUUAGCUAGUUGGUGGGGUAAAGGCCUACCAAGGCGACGAUCCAUAGCUGGUCUGAGAGGAUGAUCAGCCACACUGGGACUGAGACACGGCCCAG
rnacentral:rRNA from 1 species